rnacentral:rRNA from 1 species
AUAGGGGAGCCGUAGGGAAACCGAGUCUUAACCGGGCGUUAAGUUGCAGGGUAUAGACCCGAAACCCGGUGAUCUAGCCAUGGGCAGGUUGAAGGUUGGGUAACACUAACUGGAGGACCGAACCGACUAAUGUUGAAAAAUUAGCGGAUGACCUGUGGCUGGGGGUGAAAGGCCAAUCAAACCGGGAGAUAGCUGGUUCUCCCCGAAAGCUAUUUAGGUAGCGCCUCGUGAAUUCAUCUCCGGGGGUAGAGCACUGUUUCGGCUAGGGGGCCAUCCCGGCUUACCAACCCGAUGCAAACUGCGAAUACCGGAGAAUGUUAUCACGGGAGACACACGGCGGGUGCUAACGUCUGUCGUGAAGAGGGAAACAACCCAGACCGCCAGCUAAGGUCCCAAAGUCAUGGUUAAGUGGGAAACGAUGUGGGAAGGCCCAGACAGCCAGGAUGUUGGCUUAGAAGCAGCCAUCAUUUAAAGAAAGCGUAAUAGCUCACUGGUCGAGUCGGCCUGCGCGGAAGAUGUAACGGGGCUAAACCAUGCACCGAAGCUGCGGCAGCGACGCUGAUGCGUUGUUGGGUAGGGGAGCGUUCUGUAAGCCUGUGAAGGUGGCCUGUGAGGGUUGCUGGAGGUAUCAGAAGUGCGAAUGCUGACAUAAGUAACGAUAAAGCGGGUGAAAAGCCCGCUCGCCGGAAGACCAAGGGUUCCUGUCCAACGUUAAUCGGGGCAGGGUGAGUCGACCCCUAAGGCGAGGCCGAAAGGCGUAGUCGAUGGGAAACGGGUUAAUAUUCCCGUACUUGGUGUUACUGCGAAGGGGGGACGGAGAAGGCUAUGUUGGCCGGGCGACGGUUGUCCCGGUUUAAGCGUGUAGGUGUGUGUUCCAGGUAAAUCCGGUUCACUUUAACACUGAGGCGUGAUGACGAGGCACUACGGUGCUGAAGCAACAAAUGCCCUGCUUCCAGGAAAAGCCUCUAAGCAUCAGGUAACAUCAAAUCGUACCCCAAACCGACACAGGUGGUCAGGUAGAGAAUACCAAGGCGCUUGAGAGAACUCGGGUGAAGGAACUAGGCAAAAUGGUGCCGUAACUUCGGGAGAAGGCACGCUGACACGUAGGUGAAGUGAUUUACUCAUGGAGCUGAAGUCAGUCGAAGAUACCAGCUGGCUGCAACUGUUUAUUAAAAACACAGCACUGUGCAAACACGAAAGUGGACGUAUACGGUGUGACGCCUGCCCGGUGCCGGAAGGUUAAUUGAUGGGGUCAGCGCAAGCGAAGCUCCUGAUCGAAGCCCCGGUAAACGGCGGCCGUAACUAUAACGGUCCUAAGGUAGCGAAAUUCCUUGUCGGGUAAGUUCCGACCUGCACGAAUGGCGUAAUGAUGGCCAGGCUGUCUCCACCCGAGACUCAGUGAAAUUGAACUCGCUGUGAAGAUGCAGUGUACCCGCGGCAAGACGGAAAGACCCCGUGAACCUUUACUAUAGCUUGACACUGAACAUUGAGCCUUGAUGUGUAGGAUAGGUGGGAGGCUUUGAAGCGUGGACGCCAGUCUGCAUGGAGCCGGCCUUGAAAUACCACCCUUUAAUGUUUGAUGUUCUAACGUGGACCCGUGAUCCGGGUUGCGGACAGUGUCUGGUGGGUAGUUUGACUGGGGCGGUCUCCUCCUAAAGAGUAACGGAGGAGCACGAAGGUUGGCUAAUCCUGGUCGGACAUCAGGAGGUUAGUGCAAUGGCAUAAGCCAGCUUGACUGCGAGCGUGACGGCGCGAGCAGGUGCGAAAGCAGGUCAUAGUGAUCCGGUGGUUCUGAAUGGAAGGGCCAUCGCUCAACGGAUAAAAGGUACUCCGGGGAUAACAGGCUGAUACCGCCCAAGAGUUCAUAUCGACGGCGGUGUUUGGCACCUCGAUGUCGGCUCAUCACAUCCUGGGGCUGAAGUAGGUCCCAAGGGUAUGGCUGUUCGCCAUUUAAAGUGGUACGCGAGCUGGGUUUAGAACGUCGUGAGACAGUUCGGUCCCUAUCUGCCGUGGGCGCUGGAGAACUGAGGGGGGCUGCUCCUAGUACGAGAGGACCGGAGUGGACGCAUCACUGGUGUUCGGGUUGUCAUGCCAAUGGCACUGCCCGGUAGCUAAAUGCGGAAGAGAUAAGUGCUGAAAGCAUCUAAGCACGAAACUUGCCCCGAGAUGAGUUCU